rnacentral:rRNA from 1 species
ACGCUGAAGAGAGGAGCUUGCUCUUCUUGGAAGAAUUGCGAACGGGUGAGUAACGCGUAGGUAACCUGCCUUGUAGCGGGGGAUAACUAUUGGAAACGAUAGCUAAUACCGCAUAACAAUGGGUGACCCAUGUCAUUCAUUUGAAAGGGGCAACUGCUCCACUACAAGAUGGACCUGCGUUGUAUUAGCUAGUAGGUGAGGUAACGGCUCACCUAGGCGACGAUACAUAGCCGACCUGAGAGGGUGAUCGGCCACACUGGGACUGAGACACGGCCCAGACUCCUACGGGAGGCAGCAGUAGGGAAUCUUCGGCAAUGGGGGCAACCCUGACCGAGCAACGCCGCGUGAGUGAAGAAGGUUUUCGGAUCGUAAAGCUCUGUUGUAAGUCAAGAACGAGUGUGAGAGUGGAAAGUUCACACUGUGACGGUAGCUUACCAGAAAGGGACGGCUAACUACGUGCCAGCAGCCGCGGUAAUACGUAGGUCCCGAGCGUUGUCCGGAUUUAUUGGGCGUAAAGCGAGCGCAGGCGGUUUGAUAAGUCUGAAGUUAAAGGCUGUGGCUCAACCAUAGUUCGCUUUGGAAACUGUCAAACUUGAGUGCAGGAGGGGAGAGUGGAAUUCCAUGUGUAGCGGUGAAAUGCGUAGGUAUAUGGAGGAACACCGGUGGCGAAAGCGGCU